GUAGUCCACGCCGUAAACGUUGGGCGCUAGGUGUGGGACUCAUUCCACGAGUUCCGUGCCGCAGCUAACGCAUUAAGCGCCCCGCCUGGGGAGUACGGCCGCAAGGCUAAAACUCAAAGGAAUUGACGGGGCCCCGCACAAGCGGCGGAGCAUGCGGAUUAAUUCGAUGCAACGCGAAGAACCUUACCAAGGCUUGACAUGCAGGGAAAUCUCCCAGAGAUGGGAGGUCCGCAAGGGUUCCUGCACAGGUGGUGCAUGGUUGUCGUCAGCUCGUGUCGUGAGAUGUUGGGUUAAGUCCCGCAACGAGCGCAACCCUCGUCCUAUGUUGCCAGCGCGUGAUGGCGGGGACU
rnacentral:rRNA from 1 species